AAAAAAAAAAAAAAAAAAAACCGAGUUGUGUAUGCCGAAAGAUAGAAAAAUGAAUGAAAAAAGAAGAAUGAUCAGAAAAGGCCGAACAAGACCGAGAAACCAAGCACGAUUAGCCAAACAAUGUGGAUUAGAAGCAAUGCCUGAGCGGCAGCACCAUUGUUCCCAACUUCACAGAAGCCCUUUUUGCGUACUUUGGCACCCGCGCAAUGUGCGUCGCUGCAACCGCACCAGUAGGUCACGCCAUCGACCCCGCACACCGGGUCAGUCCGAAAGCACUUGACGGGGCAAAACGCGGGUCUGGCCGAUUCCCCACACGGGUCAGCCUCAUCAAUGUCGUGAUCGGUGUGCAAUCGUAUAGGGUUGGACUCCGAUCGCAUGGCGGGGAUGAAGCAAAGGCUAAGGAGGAGAAAGACAACAAUAGGCAUACGCAAUGUGGGAUUGGAGGAAGGGAAAGGAAUCUGAAUCAUGAUUCCUAUUCCCUUCUCUAUAAUCAAACCAAAAGUGCUAUAUGAUCAAAUCAAGGGAAUAAAAUU
rnacentral:misc_RNA from 1 species